ensembl:snoRNA SNORA75 Small nucleolar RNA SNORA75
CACUUCUCAAUGAGCUCCUUCCUGCCAACAAAUCCAUGGCAGCCUAUGGAUUCGCACGAGAAGAAUAGUAACUGUUCAGUAUUGGCAAACUUGCAAUGUGGCUCCAUCGAUUGUGAUUAGCCACUGCUGUUCAACAAGU